rnacentral:lncRNA from 1 species
UGCCAGUUGAGCAGGUUACAGAAAGGACAUGCCACAGAUGAAUGGUUUCUGCUAAGUUCUCAUAUACCACUAAAAGGUAUUGAACCAGGAUCUCUGCGUGUUCGAGCACGAUACUCUAUGGAAAAAAUCAUGCCAGAAGAAGAGUACAGUGAAUUUAAAGAGCUUAUACUGCAGAAGGAACUUCACGUAGUCUAUGCUCUAUCACACGUAUGUGGACAAGACCGAACACUACUGGCCAGCAUCCUACUGAAAAUAUUUCUUCAUGAAAAGCUUGAGUCAUUGUUGUUAUGCACACUAAAUGACAGAGAGAUAAGUAUGGAAGGUAAUACAUGGGUGUGUGAUAUUUUAAAAACUAGAUAUCAAACAUGUAUACUCUUUCUUUAAAUGUAUUAAAGAAACAAUUAAAUCAUUUUAAAAGG